UAAUAAGCAUGUCUGUUAUCCAUCAGGAUCAAAAAUCUAAAGCUAAACUAAUGCAGUGGUUACCUUCAAACUUAAAGCUUGGAAUUGUAGAGUUUGUCUGAGCUCCUCCUGUUUAGCAGCAACAAAAACAGUAGGUAGGAAGUCUUUUUGGUGUUGCCGCAGACAGAUUAAGUCCCUUGUUCCUUGAGCAGCUAAGCCUAGUAGACAUCCAUGGAUACUUCUAAAGCCAAAUGAUGCAGAUAAAGAGAACAGAAACUGAACAAGAACAAAAGGUGUCACUUUCAGGCCAUUGGUUUUCUUAGAUUUUUAGUAUCCCUCACCAUCCAACAAAUAAGUGGUACUCAAUCUGUCAGACACCUCCAUGUGGAUUCUUCUCAGUUCCUAUUUUUUCCAAGACAAAAACGACACCACAUGCCAUCGAAAUGGUCCUGCCACCUCAUCACCCACAAAGUCACCACUCAACACAAAACAACCUUGGCCCCACCGAAUCACAAAAUCUCAGCAGUCCUGCUCAAGCAUCACUAGCCUUUCACACACACACACAGAGACAGAGAGAGAGAGAGGUUUAAUUCACUUGCAGUUUUGCAGUAAUUGUGUCAGACUAUUUCACCACAGAAAUUUGCAAGCAAAAGAGCAACCAUUUCUUGGAAAAUUACCUUCAUCUAGAUAUAGAUUUGACGUACAUCAUCAAAGGGCUGCCUGACACUAGGAUAUAAACACACGUCUGCUAAAGAGGUUACUUUCUCAAUUAAAAACCACCCAGAAAGAAGCAGUUGCAGGCAUUGACAUCAGAAGCUUUCACCAACUUCCAUCACCACCUCAUAGUUGCAAUUAAUCAGUUUGCCACUUCCCUUUCAAUAAUUAUCAGGCAAACUUCAAUCACACUUACUGCUCUGAGAUUGAUAGGUAGGCAAUUCUAAAGUUGCAAAAGCCUCAUAAACCUUUUCACAGUGUGAUGAUUCAAAAAGCUCGCGCAUAUACAAGUAAAAGAUAUGAGUCCAUGGAUUCGGCUUUCCUUUGUUUGUUUAUGUGUUAAAAGCAAAGCCAAAAUCCAAGGGCCACCAGUGAGCUUUUCAAAUCAUUACCUUCUCCAAACUGAUUUCACAAACAGAGUUGGGUGGAUAAAGUCCCAAUUAAACCUGGGAAAAGGAAACAUACAAACACACACAGAUUUUAAUAACAUGGAUAUCCCCUCUUUGACUGCUAUGCCAAUCAACCUAAAGCAUAAGUGACUGGUCCAUUUCAUCUUAAAACCUAAACCCAUCUCUCUUCCACCCAAUUAUGCAACAAAGGCAUGUUCAUUUAUUAAAAACAAUCACUUUAUAAAUUGUUUCCACCUAAUCUUCUAAAUCAACCAUUUCCCAAAAGGAUCUAAGUGCAAUUGACCCAGAGAAACGAUCAUCAGUAUUAAAUUUAAAUUUUUAUGGUUCACUAAAAUAAAAAUUUAAAUUUAAAUUUUUAACAUGACAAGAUACAUUUUUCUUUUUCUCUUGGAGAAGCUAACCAAAAUGAUGUGAUAAAAUAUCCGUUAAGUUAGAUGGAGCCUCCAAUAAAGGAAAACUGCUCCCAACGACACAAAAAAACUCUUCUUAACAACUCGAGUUCCUGCUACCAUUUCCAUUUUCUAGAGAAAGACAAAACACAUUAAUUAAAGCAGUCACUGCCUUAUAAUCCAAAAUAAAUAAAGAUACAAUUUCUUUUCCACCAUUCCUCAAAUUUCCCAGUGGAAAGUGGGAUAUUGGCAGAGCUGGCUUUUCCGGUUAGCUUACUUCCGCAGCAGCUUCAAACGGCCUUGGAAGCACCAAAAACAAAAAACAAAAAACAAAAACAAACAAAAGGUAGCUGUGGCCAAAAUAGCCUUUCCCCUUUUAUAACCCUUUUCCCGUUUAUAGAAAAAAGAGAAAAUCUUAGGGUUUCAUUCAGCUAGCAUUCAGAAACAAUAAAGAAAACAAAAAAAUUUAAAACACAAUCAAAGUAAAGAUACUAAAUCUAGGGUUAGGGGUAGCAUUAAGGUUUGGGUUCUAACAUCAGAAAAAAUUGCAGAAACAAUAGUAUUUAAAAAGAAAAAAUAAAAACAAAAGCAAUCUUUCCCUCACUGAUUCAAUCAUGAAAAAUCCAUUUCUGACUUUACCAAAUCCAGAAAUACAAAAGGGGAAAGAUAGAGAGCAAUAAAUUGGGGAUUCAGAGGAGACUUACCCUAGUGGAGGUGAUGGAGUAGGCGAGUGGACUCGGAGGGAUUGGUUACAGUAUCAUCUAUUCUAAAAUAUCAUAUACAUAAUAAUUACACAGAAUUGGAAAGAAAGUAAAAGGAGAGGAGAAGAGAGGGCAUGACCACAGAUUUGUUGCUAUUUAUAGAAUUCAAUCCGCCAUUAUUAUUAGGGUUUGGGUCUCCCUACACCUAUAUUGCAGCCACCUAUCUGUGCACUGUAUGCCCUUGCCAUCCACGGACCAUUUUUGCCAUCUGGCAUGUCUUACUUCUCUUUUCCAUAAAUACCCUGAUCUUCUAGAAACUACCUGCGCACCACUUCGCCCACAAUUACUCUUCCACUAGUGCUUCAACCAAUGGUGAAUCAUAUCAUGAGGAUAAAGUUGUAAAGUUGCAGGAUUGAACCAUGUACUUUCUUUUGUCUUUAAAAAUAAUAAUAAAUAAAUAAAGAAGAAACCUGCACCGUAAGAAAACAAUCCUAAUACAUUGGUAAAUUAUUUUGAAUGUCUAGGCUAAGUUUUUCUUUCCAUAUAAUUAAAAUUUUGUAAAUUUUUUUAUUAGACAAAAAUAAAACUUCAAAUCAGGCAAUAAUCUUUAAAAAUAAUUUGAAGCCCAAAUUUGAUCAAAUUAAUAUCAUAAAUUUAUGAAUAAAAAUUGGUAUAAAAUGACUCUAUUGUUUCUAAUAUACCUAAAAUCAUAAAUUUUUUUUUCAUUUUUUUUAGCUAGAUAAACAAAUCUCAAAUUAAACAAGACUUAAUGUGUUAAAUUCAUUAAUGAGUCCAAUAAUUUUGAAAAAUAACUUAAAACUCAAAUAGUGAUCCAAUAAUCUAAAAAACUUAUGAACAAAAUGUUAGCUUUUUUCCUAUAACAUGUGGUCAUAUAUAAUUAUAUUUGUGUAAAUAUUAUUUUAAAGUAUCAAUUGAUAGGUAGGUGAAUCAAUUGAUUGAGUAUCCAAGAGUUUUAUAUAUGGAAGACUCAAAUUAUAAAUGGGGAGUUAGAAAAUUUUAUUUAUAUGAAUGUAGUGUUACAAUUUUUGUAAUCUCAUCAUUAUGAAAUUUAAUUUGUACAUUAUGUUUAUGAAUAAUGGAAGAAAAUGGAAAAGUAUAACUUAUGCAAUUAUAUAGAUGCAUUCAAGUUAAUAACCUACCAUUACCCAUAAAUUUAUACAUAAUGGUUAUAAAUAAUGAGUAUAACUCUCAUAUAGUCUUUGAUGGGAAGACUAAGAAAUAUACAUCUUUUAAUAAGUUAAGGUCUUAAGUCACACUCUCAUUCUUAUGUCCUUUUGUUGUUUUAUUUUUUAACAACAUACACUACACUAGUGUCUCAUCCACUAUAUGAGAGUAAUGAAUUGAAGACCUUGACAAUACAAUUCACUAGGUGACUCAAUCUCACUUCAAAAGUGUUAUUGAUAUCAUGAAUCAAAGUAAGAAUAUGAUCAUUAUUUUAGUACUUAUAUUUAUUUUGUUUUAUGCAUCCAAAAUUAUUUUUUAAAAUAAUUAUUUCCUCAUAAAAUUUAUAAAAGUUUGGUUAACACAAAAAUUGGUCUAAAGUAAUAGGGAAACUCAAAUUACUUCAUUUCCUAACCUUAGAUCUCAUAAGGCACAUGCAAUCUAUUCCUAGGCUUCUUUAGAUCUAAAUGCAAAAGAAAAAAAAAAGAAUCAAAACUAAUAUAACAUGGAUCUAAAGAUAAAAACAUAAUAUUUGUGAUUUAGAUAUUCUCAAAUCGAUUCUGAUAUGAUAAAAUAAACCAUAGGCAUUCUAUAUCUCAUAUAUCCAGGGAUCUUUUGUUUGAUUACUCCUUUCAUUGAUCUUUGGUGCAAGAAAAGGGUUGUCUUCUCUAGAAAAAGGCUAGGGUUUUCUUUUCUAGAGUUUGGAAGACAAUGGCCAAGAAGUUUAACCCUAAAUCCCUAAGAGGGUUUAUAU
rnacentral:lncRNA from 1 species